UACGGAGGGUGCAAGCGUUAUCCGGAUUUACUGGGUUUAAAGGGUGCGUAGGCGGCGCGGUAAGUCGGGUGUGAAAUCUCGGAGCUUAACUCCGAAACUGCAUUCGAUACUGCCGUGCUUGAGGACUGGAGAGGAGACUGGAAUUUACGGUGUAGCGGUGAAAUGCGUAGAUAUCGUAAGGAAGACCAGUGGCGAAGGCGGGUCUCUGGACAGUUCCUGACGCUGAGGCACGAAGGUCAGGGGAGCAAACGGG
rnacentral:rRNA from 1 species